UACGGGGGGGGCAAGCGUUGUUCGGAAUCACUGGGCGUAAAGCGCACGUAGGCGGCUUUCUAAGUCAGGGGUGAAAUCCUGGAGCUCAACUCCAGAACUGCCUUUGAUACUGGAGAGCUUGAGUCCGGAAGAGGUGAGUGGAACUCCGAGUGUAGAGGUGAAAUUCGUAGAUAUUCGGAAGAACACCAGUGGCGAAGGCGGCUCACUGGUCCGGUACUGACGCUGAUGUGCGAAAGCGUGGGGAGCAAACAGG
rnacentral:rRNA from 1 species